GCGAGCGCUAUCGUUCCGUGCAGUUCAAGAGCUUGUCGGUCUAUAAAUAACAAUGACGAAAAGAAUGACACGAACACUGGCGAGGGAGAAAGCAUAAACAAGACUGAUGAUGAUGAUGAUUACGAUGAUGAUGUAUGGUGUCAAUAACGGGGUAACAAAACAAGAACAAUGAGAGUUAGCUUGAAAUAAUAAUAAUGAGAGCAAAGAAACACUAAUAGCAAUGACAAUAAAUAGCAACAAGGAGAGAGGAAGCAUAAACAAGACCGCAAUGACGAGGAUGACAAUUUCUACAUUUUUUACGGGAUCACAAAACCAAUACAACACUGAAACUUUCCUUGGACUAAUAAAAUAACAGUAAUAAUAACAAUAACCAUGAAUAAAGCAACGAUAGUAACGCCAAAUAACAACGAUAGAGGAAAUAGUAACUUAAUUUAAAGCCGAAACGUGUCCUCCUCCUAAUUUUCUUCCUUCUCACAUUUUUCAUCAACAUCCUCGUCAUCAUCUCCUCCUCCUCCUCCUCCAUUUUCUUCACCUCCAUCCUACAGCAAAAACCUAAUAAUAACAAUAAAGGCAAUGGUAACUUGAGUUAGAGCCGAAACGUGUCCUCCUCCUAAUAAUCCAAUUCCUACAACUCCCAUUUUUCAUCAACAUCCCCUCCUCUUCCUCCUUCUUCACCUCCUACAUACAGCAAGAACCUAAUAAUAACGAUAGACAAUAGUUACUUAAUUUAGAGCCGAAACGAACUCACAAGGCGGGAAAAAUAGGCGGAGUUUGGCGGGAAAAAAAACAGUUACCCUUUGGCAGUGAUACGGGGAGGUACGCCGCUUUGUUUCUCCGCGCGUGAUAUAUUACCUACUAAACCCGUGACCUUGGGGCGUAUCUUUCCUUUAUUCCACGCCGUUCGUAAAGGGAGGAAGGGAAGGGAGGCGUCACGUGACCUUGCAACGCCCCAUACACAGAGGCCGCUGAAGGUGGGAGCCGAGCUGCGCUGAGCCGAGCUAAGAUGAGCUCAGCCGAACAAUGGUAGUCGGAUGUCACUGCCCCUUCUGCCUCGUCCUGCCCCGCUUCAGUGUGCCCGGGGGUCGGUGAAGGGCGCCGUUGGUUGGCCCGCCCGUCACCGUUGGAAGCCUGAGGGCUGAUUAGCGGCGUGAUUGGGAGGCGCGGGAGCAAUUAGGUCCGCCCAGGUGACUGACGCCCCCCCCCCACCUCACCUGUACCUGGGCCUCCGUGAAUCCGUCGUUAAGUCCAGCGGGUGUGAGCGACGAGGCAGCCCGGCACGCAGCCCUGAGUCCCGGCGGCCCGCAGCGACGCCCCCGCCAGCGGCACGCCCACCGCCGAGAGGCCCCAAACACCCAUUGUGGACACGGCCGCCGCUGGAAUGAAUCUCUAAUGGGCCUUGUGUGUCGCCCGCCCGGGAGGGACACCAACAGCCACCCCCUCCGAAACACUGCUCUCCGCCCCGUCGCUCCUCUGAUGGAUGUCCUCUCCCCCCUACCGCCGCCGCCGCCGCCA